AAAGUCAUUGCUAGUGACCUAAGAAUUGGGGAACUUUUUUUUUUCCGUUUUUUUUUUUUUUUUGAGGAAGAUUAACCCUGAGCUAACUACUGCCAGUCUUCCUCUUUUUGCUGAGGAAGCCUGGCCCUGAGCUAACAUCCGUGCCCAUCUUCCUCUACUUUAUACGUGGGAUGCCUACCACAGCAUGGCGUGUCAAGCGGUGCCAUGUCCGCACCUGGGAUCCGAACUCGCGAACCCUGGGUUGCUGAGAUGCAGAACGUGCGCACUUAACUGCUGCGCCACCAGGCCGGCGCCCAGAACUGGGGAACUUCAAGUUCCAUUUACCCAAAGCAAAUUUAUUCUUAGAAGAAUCUCUCAACUCUGAAAUAAGAGCAGAUCUCCAAAUCCUAAGGAAGAUUAGCCUCUCUGAGCUAACAUCUGCCACCAAUCCUCCUCUUUCUGCUGAGGAAGAGUGGCCCUGAGCUAACAUCCACGCCCAUCUUCCUCCAUUUUAUACGUGGGAUGCCUGCUACAGAAUGGCAUGCUAAGCGAUGUGGAGAUCCUCACCCGGGAUCUGAACCUGCGAACCCCGGGCCCCCCGAAAGCGAAAUGUGCGAACUUAACCACUGCACCACACAGCCGGCCCGAGAAAAACGUUUUCUGUAUUUACCCUCACAUUUACCAUUUUUUUUUCUUCAUUCAUUAUUUAGGAUUUCUUUUAAUAUUUCUCGUAGUGCGUGACUGCUGGUGACAAAUUCUCUUAGUGUUUGUUUGCAUGAAAAUGUUUUUGUUUUACCUUCAUCUUUGAAUGGCUUUCAUUGGCAGGAUAUGUAAUUCUGUUCUGACAGGUUUUUUUCCUUUCAGUGCUUUAUUGGUAUUCCUUGCAGCAAUUAAUCUACCAAUCUAUUCCUCCGUCCAGGAGUUAUUCUCUUUGUUCCCUCUUCCCUCAUGACAUUCUAUGCAAGAAGGUAAGAUCCAUAUUGAGCCAGCGUGGGAGCAGUCCUGACUUGGAAAACCCCAUGUCCUACACGAGCCAAUAUCCCUUCUAACAACUCCUUAGCCAUAUCUUCCAAGGUCCUCUCUUGUGACUGUGCUCAGUGAAGGCCAAAAUUAUGGCUUCUCACCAGGUGUAUAUGGCCAUAUCUAGAACUCUCAGUCCAGUUGCAAUCUUUCAAUCAGGGUUCAUUAUGUUGCUUAGUAUCAACAUGACAUUUCACU
ensembl:lncRNA